AUGGCGUCCGCGUGGUGCCUCUUGGCGCCGGCCGCCACCGGCGCGGCGCCGGGCGCUCUCGGCGUCUCCGCCUCCGAAUCCAGAGGCGUCUUCGCCGCGCGGGCGGCGGUCCCUGAGAGGACGCGGCGCAGGUGGGACUCGCUCGUGGUGUGCGUGGCCCCCGACGAGGAGAAGAUUACGCGGCGCUCGCCCCUCGAUUUCCCCAUCGAAUGGGAGAAACCUAAGCCUGGGAGGAGACCUGACAUCUUCCCAAAGUUCAGCCCUAUGAAAACACCAUUGCCCCAUCCAUUACCAGCUGAUGAUCCUCUGGAUGAUGAUGAGGAAGAAGAAGAGGAAGAAGCACAACCUCAAGAAGAACCACAGGAGGAUGAUCCUGACAAGGAGGAUCCUGAGGAAGAUGACCCAGACAAGCCAACUGAGUAA
rnacentral:rRNA from 1 species